CCACUGCCCCUUGCUGAUAUAGCAUCAGUGUAUAAAAGAAGAAAUAGAGGGUAAGUCAGCCCCAGUUUCUCCCAUGGAAAGCUAGAGGGAAAAUACAUUCACAAACUUCACUCUUAAUCUCUGCUGAAGGCCUACUAUUCCAGGAGCUGGAAUAAAAGACAUAGCAACGAACACCACCUACUAGGUCCUGUUUUCUCGGUGCUCACAUUUUGCAGAGAAUUUCAGCCUGGGAUAGUUUCUGUGAUGACAGUGGGUAAUGGGAAAGAGGUUGGAUCUUGGGUGGCCAUGCAAGUGUUUCUUGAAGUGACAUAAAGUAGGAAAAGGAAUCAGCUAUGUGAUUGGUCAUUUAUACAAGAUUUCCUGUGUGUUCCCAUAGGCCAAUGAGCAUUACUGAAGGGAUCACUGGAAAUGGGGCAUGACCUUUGCCCUGGAAGAGUUCAUAGUCUGUGCAAAGAAGCACAGCAAUGGUUAUGAUUCGAAAGUUGCUAGUGUAGAUUGUAGAAACAAGGAAUUGAAUCACAUAUGAAGAACAAAGCAGGAGGCACGUACUACCAUUGAAGGACAGCAGCAUUUAAACAUGGAACAACAUGCAAUGAUGGAUGGCUGAUUAAAUAAUGAUGACUUUUAAAGUAUUUUAUACUAAGUAUAGUAGCAAAAGUUAGCAAAAGACCAAGCCCAUGCAAGACAGAGUACAUUUUCACUGAAAGAUCUUACAAACACACUCUGGAUAGA